rnacentral:lncRNA from 1 species
GCAAACACCUUGCAACAAGAGGAGAAACCACUUUUAGUUAGGAGUGAGAGGCUGUCAUUAGGAAGAGUGUUUCCUUCUCAGACGGAUGAUGGAAAUGGGUGACCUUGAGCAAAAAAGUCCACCCAUUACUGCCAUUCCUCCAUUUUUAAAGGAAAAAAUGCUUCACUGUAAUAUACUUGCUUCAGAGUAUUUGUACAUAUUUUAAGAGUUCUUAGAGGAAUUUUGGAAGAACCAGAGUAAAUAACACAAACCAAAAUGAGGCUCUGUUAUUUAAGUUUAUGACGAACUCAUGGGGCAUUGCUUUUACAGUAAUACAUGAUGGUAGUUGCCCUGGAUUCUUUUAAGUAAGAAAAGCAAAUCAUCUGCUUUCUUACUAGAAUAUGACCGUGUGUGUGUGUGUGAAUCUCACCAUACAUAUACAAUAGAAAAACAUGAUUAAAGGAAAGAAAUCUUCCCUAUAAACAUAAGAUGUGGAUGUUAUGGAUAUAUUCAUAGAGUCACACUUGUGUGCACUGAAGUGGCUCUACUUC